UUGGAGGGCAAGUCUGGUGCCAGCAGCCGCGGUAAUUCCAGCUCCAAUAGCGUAUAUUAAAGUUGUUGCAGUUAAAAAGCUCGUAGUUGAAUUUCGAGACCGGCUUACUGGUCGUGCUAUUGUACGUACUGGUAUAAUCGGUUUCUCCUUUCUGACGAACUUUAAUGCCAUUAAUUUGGUGUUUUAGGGAAUCAGGACUGUUACUUUGAAAAAAUUAGAGUGUUUAAAGCAGGCUCACGCUUGAAUACAUUAGCAUGGAAUAACGGAAUAGGACGUUUGAUUCUAUUUUGUUGGUUUCUAGGAUCGACGUAAUGAUUAAUAGGGAUAGUUGGGGGCAUUAGUAUUCAAUUGUCAGAGGUGAAAUUCUUGGAUUUAUUGAAGACUAACUACUGCGAAAGCAUUUGCCAAGGAUGUUUUCAUUAAUCAAGAACGAAAGUUAGGGGAUCGAAGACGAUCAGGUACCGUCGUAGUCUUAACCAUAAACUAUGCCGACUAGGGAUCGGAUGAUGUUAAUUUUUUAAUGACUCAUUCGGCGCCUUACGGGAAAC
rnacentral:rRNA from 1 species